CCCGGACGCUGUCCAAGCACCACCACCACUUUUGAGCUCCCUGACAGCUGACGUGCACGAGAUUUUUUUUUUGCAGCGUUGUCUUCAUUAUGCAUCCCAUAACCAUGAGCAAACAACCCGGCGUGGAAGCCGCCACACACCACGACGCUACCUGGCAGACAAUCAUAUCGCAGUACCAACCCCCCCCCCCCCCCCAUAGUGACAUGCUGCAGUUGCCGCAAACAACGAUAACCAACGAGCAACAAUGGUAACCAACACGACUACGGUGGCGAACCUCGUUCUUGAUAUUUGAUUCAGCUGGAAGUAAGAUAAUAUCACCAGGACUGCCACCCACACACGGUCUUCUGGACAGCACACAAAAUUUCAUCCAAAUCCCCGCCCCCACCCACCCAGACAAAAAUGAGGCACCUCCAACAUCGCUGAUAUUACACCAGCCUGUUUGUACAAAACAAUAAUCCAGUGUUAUCAACCCUGGGUUGAACACCUCCUAAUCUGCAAUAUCUACAACUGCAACACUGGCUACCUCCAACCACGAUCAAUCAUAUUUAUAGACAGUUUCUGAAGCUACAAUGAACGUAAUGCUUGUAUCCGGGACGCGCAAAGUGCCUUCAAACUGCAUGCACCGCCGCUCGUACCCUUCACUACUAUAGCCUAAGCUACUCUUAGUCUUGAUGUAUAUUGACUCUGGCUAAGGUACUAGAGCCCAGCUGAACCGGAAGCGUAUUAUCUCGACAAAUUCUCUUGGGCUUCACAUCGAACUUUGAGAUGGUGUAUAUUAAAUGUACUAUACUGAAUAUUUAUAAUAAAAGGUGAAAUUUA